rnacentral:rRNA from 1 species
GACGAACGCUGGCGGCGUGCUUAACACAUGCAAGUCGAACGAAGUGGCGAACGGGUGAGUAACGCGUAAUCAACCUGCCCUUCAGAGGGGGACAACAGUUGGAAACGACUGCUAAUACCGCAUACUGAAGGAGGGGAUUGCGUCUGCUUAGCUAGGUGGAGGGGUAACGGCCCACCAAGGCGAAGAUCAGUAGCCGGUCUGGGAGGAUGAACUGCCACAAUGGGAAUGGGACACGGCCCAGAAUCCUACGGGAGGCAGCAGUUGGGAAUCUUCCGCAAUGGACGAAAGUCUGAAGGAGCAACGCCGCGGGAGUGAUGACGGCCUUCGGGUUGUAAAGGUCUGUUAAUCGGGACGCGGUACCGGAAUAGAAAGCCACGGCUAACUACGUGCCAGCAGCCGCGGUAAUAC